rnacentral:rRNA from 1 species
GAUGAACGCUGGCGGCGUGCCUAAUACAUGCAAGUCGAGCGAACAGAUGAGGAGCUUGCUCCUCCGACGUUAGCGGCGGACGGGUGAGUAACACGUGGACAACCUACCUAUAAGACUGGGAUACCUUCGGGAAACCGGAGCUAUUACCGGAUAAUAUAUUGAACCGCAUGGUUCAAUAGUGAAAGACGGCUUUGCUGUCACUUAUAGACGGAUCCGCGCCGCAUUAGCUAGUUGGUAAGGUAACGGCUUACCAAGGCAACGAUGGUUAGCCGACCCGAGAGGGAGAUCGGCUACACGGUAACUGAGACACGUUCCAGACUCCUACGGGAGGAAGCGGUAGGGAAUCUUCCGCAAGGGGCGAAAGCCUGACGGAGCAACGCCGCGGGAAGGAUGAAGGACUUCGGAUCGUAAAACUCUGUUAGUAGGAAAGAAGAAAAGCUUUAGUAACUAGGCUCGUCUUGACGGUACCUAAUCAGAAAGCCACGGCUAACUACGUG